CCUUGAGUGGCUGAGAUAUAUAAGCGUUAGACUUUUAAUCUAAAGACGGUAUUAAUACCCUCUAGGU
rnacentral:tRNA from 1 species